AGAGUUUGAUCAUGGCUCAGGAUGAACGCUAGCGGCAGGCCUAACACAUGCAAGUCGAGGGGCAGCACAAGGUAGCAAUACUGAGGUGGCGACCGGCGCACGGGUGAGUAACGCGUAUGCAACCUACCCUAUACUGGGGGAUAGCUCAAAGAAAUUUGAAUUAAACCCGCAUAAAGCAGGGGUACCGCAUGGUACUAUUUGCUAAAACUCCGGUGGUAUAGGAUGGGCAUGCGUGUCAUUAGCUAGUUGGUGAGGUAACGGCUCACCAAGGCUACGAUGACUAGGGGGUCUGAGAGGAUGAUCCCCCACACUGGUACUGAGACACGGACCAGACUCCUACGGGAGGCAGCAGUGAGGAAUAUUGGUCAAUGGGGGCAACCCUGAACCAGCCAUGCCGCGUGAAGGAAGAAGGCGCUAUGCGUUGUAAACUUCUUUUGUACGGGGGUAAUGACAGGUACGUGUAUCUGUUUGAAAGUACUGUACGAAUAAGCAUCGGCUAACUACGUGCCAGCAGCCGCGGUAAUACGUAGGAUGCAAGCGUUAUCCGGAUUUAUUGGGUUUAAAGGGUGCGUAGGCGGGUUUGUAAGUCAGUGGUGAAAGACUGUCGCUUAACGAUAGCAUUGCCAUUGAUACUGCGAAUCUUGAGUACACUUGAGGUAGGCGGAAUGUAGUGUAGCGGUGAAAUGCUUAGAUAUUACACAGAACACCAAUUGCGAAGGCAGCUUACUAAAUUGUUACUGACGCUGAGGCACGAAAGCGUGGGGAUCAAACAGGAUUAGAUACCCNNGUAGUCC
rnacentral:rRNA from 1 species